rnacentral:lncRNA from 1 species
AAAUCCAGAAAUAAAUAAAAGAGGAAGGGACUGAUUUGAAAGCGCGAAUAAUAUACGGGGUCCAAAAGUGAAAUAAUCCCCACCCUCCUAAACGACGUCGUUUGAAAGGGGCCAAAUUGAAUUCCAAAUAGAUUAUGGGGUCAAAGUUAAAAGGAAUAAAACUUAAUUGCAAAGUAUCAGAAAAGCUGAAGGACUUAUUGGGAAAAUAUCCCAUCAAAGAAAAAACCUGCGGAUCCCCUAGCCUGUCGGGUCGCCUGCGCAGGCGUUUUGGGGAUCUUCAGGACACUUUAAAACGACGCCGUUUUAGAAGGCUAUAAAAGCCAAAUUUUUGAGAAAAAAAAAACAUUCCUGCUAUCAUUUAAAAAAAAAAAAACUCAGCAGCUCUCUCACUCCCUCUCUCUCGCCCUCUGGUCGGAGUCGAAGUCCGGCAAUCGAGCCGCCGUCAACCACCGUCGCCGGCCACCACACGCGGUGGCCGGAACUCCAAAAAUCCCUCUUUUCGGCCGAUUUAAAAACCAAGUGAGUUUUUUUGCCUUCGUCGUAUGUAUAUUCCGAUAUAUUUAUGUAUGUAGGCAAUAGAUUUGAAAUAAAAAAAUUGAGAAAAUAAAAGACCUUUGUAACCUGAUUCUUGAUCUGAUUUCCUUGUUUUGUUUUUGACUUUUUGUUUGAUUCUCGGUCUAUACUCUAUCUGCUAUUUUCGUUUUUUGUUUUGUAUUUUUUAAAACCUUUUCAUUCCAGAAAAAAAAUCUUCCCUCAUAAUAUGAUCUCUUUGGCUUUUAUAAAGCCUUUACAUGUAUUUUUAUAUUAUUUCCUAUUGUUUGCGUGUUCCUUUUGCAGGAGCAGUUGGGGGCGGUGGAUGUGACGUGGUGGUAGCAGCAGAGGCGAUGGCUAGGCUCUGACAGUGGCUAGAGUGCCACUUGGGGGUAGGGGGCUAGGUUUUUUUUUUUUGUAUGUUAAGGUCUUGGGCUGGGCUAGGGUUGAAAUUAGGUUUGGGUUAAUGGGUUUUGGUUUUGGGUAGGUAGUUGGUCUAUUGGGCUUAGUCAAAUUUGGGUUUGUACAAUGUAAAAUUUUAAGUUCGUUUUUAUAUUUAAGUCCGUAAAAAAAAAUCAGACUUGAAAUUUUGCCCAAACCUGAUUUAGAUAAAAAAAUGCUAAACCCGAGCUCGACCUGUACAUAUUAAUUUUUGUAUAUAAAAUAAAUUUUAAAAAUAU